UUCUGCCUGUAGCUAGAAGACCAGAACCCUCCUCAUAGCUGUAGUAGGACUGAUGCAGGACUGAGGAAUGGGGAGGAGAUGGGGUGGUGGUGGAGAUUGCAAACACUUCGCUAAGGGAAAAGAAGAUUGAGCUGGUGAACCAUGAGAUCCUGCCAGUGUUUAUCUUUCACCGCUCAGUUUUCUAACAACCAGGUUGAACCUAUAAGGACCCUGAGUGCUGGGAAUUCUCUCAUUGUGUUGUGCAUCGCUGAAGGCCUUGAAAGUACAAAGACAGACAUUCCCCUACGUGUGAGUGUGUGUGUGAAUGUACAUAUCUGUAUCUCUGCCCUGUGAUGGACUGGUGACCUGUCCAGGGUGACUUGUCCAGUAUUCUGCCUUCUGCCCAAUGACUGCUGGGACAGACUCCUAGCAACCCAGGAUUAUAAGCGGCAUAGAUCAUGCAGUUCAUGGCUGAGAAUUUGGAGCUAGAUUUGGGUGGGGGUUCUGGAUCAGGGUCUAGGACGGGAUUUCCUGCAGUCAGAGCGACACUGUAUACAGGUACUGCUGAAACAGGUGAUGAUGGAGCACUCUGACUCUGCUCCAGAACAGGCAAGCUGACUUUACUCUCCUCUUCGGACACUCUGAGGCCUCUCAGGUGUGUCACAAAGGUCAGAGUCUGCUGCUCCAGGGACAUGAAAUCCUCAUGGACUUUUUCAAACUACAACAGCAAAAUGGCAAAAGGCAUGUGGGUGGCACAGGGUUCACCUGUCCUGCAGUGGUAAAGAAAUUGGAGUAGAGAAACACAAAGGCCAAGGCCCACCCACAGCAACCCAGCCAGCAAUAACCUGUACCCGGACUCAAGAAGACUGACUGAGGGGUGUAGUGGGGCCUCCUCUUGGACCACCA